ensembl:rRNA 5S_rRNA 5S ribosomal RNA
UUCUAUCACCUUAUAUCCUUAAAAUACCUGGUCUUUUCUGAACACUGGAGCUAAGCAGGAUCAGGACUAGCUGGACCUUGAUAGGAACUCUCUUUGAUAAAAAGCCUGUCUAGGAG